rnacentral:rRNA from 1 species
AACGUAGGAGACAAACGUUAUCCGGAGUUACUGGGCGUAAAGGGCGUGUAGGUGGUUGCGUAAGUCUGGCGUGAAAUUUUUCGGCUUAACCGGGAAAGGUCGUCGGAUACUGCGUAACUAGAGGACGGUAGAGGCGUGUGGAAUUCCGGGUGUAGUGGUGAAAUGCGUAGAGAUCCGGAGGAACACCAGUGGCGAAGGCGACUACCUGGCCUGUUUCUUGACGCUGAGGCGCGAAAGCUAGGGGAGCAAACGGG